AGCGAACGCUGGCGGCAGGCCUAACACAUGCAAGUCGAGCGGACGUAGCAAUACGUCAGCGGCAGACGGGAGAGUAACACGUGGGAACGCGCCCUUCGGCUCGGAAUAACUCAGGGAAACUUGGGCUAAUACCGAAUACGCCCUUACGGGGAAAGAUUCAUUGCCGAAGGAACGGCCCGCGUCCGAUUAGCUUGUUGGUGAGGUAACGGCUCACCAAGGCGACGAUCGGUAGCUGGUCUGAGAGGAUGACCAGCCUCACUGGGACUGAGACACGGCCCAGACUCCUACGGGAGGAAGCAGUGGGAAAUAUUGGACAAUGGGCGCAAGCCUGAUCCAGCCAUGCCGCGUGGGUGAUGAAGGCCCUAGGGUUGUAAAGCCCUUUCGGCGGGGAAGAUAAUGACGGUACCCGCAGAAGAAGCCCCGGCUAACUUCGUGCCAGCAGCCGCCGUAAUAC
rnacentral:rRNA from 1 species